rnacentral:rRNA from 1 species
AUACGUAGGGGGCGAGCGUUGUCCGGAAUGAUUGGGCGUAAAGGGCGCGUAGGCGGCGCGGUAAGUCUGGAGUGAAAGUCCUGCUUUCAAGGUGGGAAUUGCUUUGGAUACUGCCGCGCUUGAGUGCAGGAGAGGUUAUCGGAAUUCCCGGUGUAGCGGUGAAAUGCGUAGAGAUCGGGAGGAACACCAGUGGCGAAGGCGGGUAACUGGACUGCAACUGACGCUGAGGCGCGAAAGUGUGGGGAGCAAACAGGAUUAGAUACCCUGGUAGUCCACACUGUAGACGAUGAAUGCUAGGUGUAAGAGGUAUCGACCCCUUUUGUGCCGGAGUCAACACAAUAAGCAUUCGGCCUGGGGAGUACGGCCGCAAGGUUGAAACUUAAAUGAAUUGGCGGGG